rnacentral:rRNA from 1 species
UACGUAGGGGGCAAGCGUUGUCCGGAUUUAUUGGGCGUAAAGAGCGUGUAGGCGGCCAGGUAGGUCCGUUGUGAAAACUAGAGGCUUAACCUCUAGACGUCGAUGGAAACCGUCUGGCUAGAGUCCGGAAGAGGAGAAUGGAAUUCCUGGUGUAGCGGUGAAAUGCGCAGAUAUCAGGAAGAACACCCGUGGCUAAGGCGGUUCUCUAGUACGGUACUGACGCUGAGACGCGAAAGCGUGGGGAGCGAACAGG